rnacentral:rRNA from 1 species
UAGGGAAUCUUCCACAAUGGGCGGAAAGCCUGAUGGAGCAACGCCGCGUGUGUGAUGAAGGGUUUCGGCUCGUAAAACACUGUUGUUAAAGAAGAACAUAUCUGAGAGUAACUGUUCAGGUAUUGACGGUAUUUAACCAGAAAGCCACGGCUAACUACGUCCCAG